rnacentral:rRNA from 1 species
UCAAGUAAUUAAGUGCAUGUGGUGGAUGCCUUGGCAGUCAGAGGCGAUGAAAGACGUGAUAGCCUGCGAAAAGCUCCGGGGAGGCGGCAAAUAUCCUUUGAUCCGGAGAUGUCUGAAUGGGGGAACCCACCUACUUUAAGGUAGGUAUUGCAACAUGAAUACAUAGUGUUGCAAGGCGAACGAGGGGAAGUGAAACAUCUCAGUACCCUUAGGAAAAGAAAUCAAUUGAGAUUCCCUCAGUAGCGGCGAGCGAACGGGGAUCAGCCCAUUAAGUUAUGUGUGUUUUAGUGGAACGCUCUGGGAAGUGCGAACGUAGAGGGUGAUAUUCCCGUACACGAAAGGGCACACAUAAUGAUGACGAGUAGGGCGAGGCACGUGAAACCUUGUCUGAAUAUGGGGGGACCAUCCUCCAAGGCUAAAUACUCCUGACUGACCGAUAGUGAACCAGUACCGUGAGGGAAAGGCGAAAAGAACCCCUGUGAGGGGAGUGAAAUAGAUCCUGAAACCGCAUGCAUACAAGCAGUGGGAGCACCUUCGUGGUGUGACUGCGUACCUUUUGUAUAAUGGGUCAGCGACUUAUAUUCAGUAGCGAGGUUAACCGUAUAGGGGAGCCGUAGAGAAAUCGAGUCUUAAUAGGGCGUUUAGUUGCUGGGUAUAGACCCGAAACCAGGCGAUCUAUCCAUGAGCAGGUUGAAGGUUGGGUAACACUAACUGGAGGACCGAACCCACUGUCGUUGAAAAGCCAGGGGAUGACUUGUGGAUAGGGGUGAAAGGCUAAUCAAGCCUGGUGAUAGCUGGUUCUCCCCGAAAGCUAUUUAGGUAGCGCCUCGGACGAAUACCAUAGGGGGUAGAGCACUGUUUCGGCUAGGGGGUCAUCCCGACUUACCAAACCGAUGCAAACUCCGAAUACCUAUGAGUACUAUCCGGGAGACAGACUGCGGGUGCUAACGUCCGUAGUCAAGAGGAAAACAAUCCAGACCGCCAGCUAAGGCCCCAAAAUCAUAGUUAAGUGGGAAACGAUGUGGGAAGGCAUAGACAGCUAGGAGGUUGGCUUAGAAGCAGCCACCCUUUAAAGAAAGCGUAAUAGCUCACUAGUCGAGUCGGCCUGCGCGGAAGAUGUAACGGGGCUAAAACUAUGUGCCGAAGCUGCGGAUGUAUACUUUGUAUACGUGGUAGGGGAGCGUUCUGUAAGCCGAUGAAGGUGUGUUGAGAAGCAUGCUGGAGGUAUCAGAAGUGCGAAUGCUGACGUGAGUAACGACAAAACGGGUGAAAAACCCGUUCGCCGAAAGACCAAGGGUUCCAGUCCAACGUUAAUCGGGGCUGGGUGAGUCGACCCCUAAGGCGAGGCCGAAAGGCGUAGUCGAUGGGAAAAUGGUUAAUAUUCCAUUACUUCUGUGUAAUGCGAUGAGAGGACGGAGAAGGCUAAAUCAGCCUGGCGUUGGUUGUCCAGGUGAAAGGAUGUAGGCAUGUAUCUUAGGCAAAUCCGGGGUACUCUAUGCUGAGAUCUGAUAGCAAGCUGUACUUGUACAGCGAAGUGGUUGAUGCCAUGCUUCCAGGAAAAGUCUCUAAGCUUCAGUUACACAGGAAUCGUACCCGAAACCGACACAGGUGGUCAGGUCGAGUAGACCAAGGCGCUUGAGAGAACUCUGCUGAAGGAACUAGGCAAAAUGGUACCGUAACUUCGGGAGAAGGUACGCUGUUGUUGGUGAUGGAACUCGCUUCCUGAGCUGACGACAGCCGCAGAAACCAGGCCGCUGCAACUGUUUAUUAAAAACAUAGCACUCUGCAAACACGAAAGUGGACGUAUAGGGUGUGAUGCCUGCCCGGUGCUGGAAGGUUAAUUGAUGGGGUUAGCGUAAGCGAAGCUCUUGAUCGAAGCCCCAGUAAACGGCGGCCGUAACUAUAACGGUCCUAAGGUAGCGAAAUUCCUUGUCGGGUAAGUUCCGACCUGCACGAAUGGCAUAAUGAUGGCGGCGCUGUCUCCAGCAGAGGCUCAGUGAAAUCGAAAUCGCUGUGAAGAUGCAGUGUACCCGCGGCUAGACGGAAAGA